GUCUACGGCCAUACCACCCUGAACGCGCCCGAUCUUGUCUGAUCUCGGAAGCUAAGCAGGGUCGGGCCUGGUUAGUACUUGGAUGGGAAAUGAAGUUUGGGGGCUGCUCCCA
rnacentral:rRNA from 1 species